GGUAAAGUGGCCGAAGCAGGUGCCGAGUUGUAGCCUCGGUUAUAAAGGUCCAUCCCUUUCUUUACCA
rnacentral:tRNA from 1 species